UCCUGGUUUCCCAGGCAGUCUCAUCAGAGUGCCCAUAAAAUGGUAGCAACUGACGACAGGAGUUGCGCUCGUUAUAGGACUUAACCCAACAUCUCACGACACGAGCUGACGACAGCCAUGCAGCACCUGUGAAAUUGUCUAGACCGAAGCCUAGAAGAUCGUAUUUCUACGACUGUCAAAAACAUGUCAAGCCUAGGUAAGGUUCCUCGCGUAGUGUCGAAUUAAACCACAUGUUCCACCGCUUGUGCGAGCCCCCGUCAAUUCCUUUGAGUUUUAGUCUUGCGACCGUAGUUCCCAGGCGGAUCACUUAACGCGUUAGCUACGACACUGAUCCCGCUAAGCGGAACCAACAUCAAGUGAUCAUCGUUUACAGCGUGGACUAC
rnacentral:misc_RNA from 1 species